AACUUUGUUGCUUCUCAAUAUAAUUGACCUUGGGCACCAAGAAUAUACAUGUUAUAUAAAGGAUGUUUCAUCAAAUUCAAAAACACAACAAGAAAAAUCACCCCCUUUGUCGACUUGAGAGCUCUUCAUUAUCCACAAUUCUUUGUCAAAUUCUUUUGUGAUCGAACUCAAGGGUUGGAAGUGAGUGGUGCUUACUGUCCGAGCAAGAUCUUGUCAUCUGCCUAAGUUGUUGUUUGUUUGGAAGCAAACAAAAUGAGUUAUAUUAAGAAGAAAAAUAGUGAUUUAUCUUCAUCUUUAAAGUCAUUUCUUUUGUGCUUCUAUGUUAAAGAUGAUGAUGAUGAUACUAGCAAUGUUGUGAAAGAUUCAAUUUCUAGUGUUUCAUCUGGAGUUGAAGCAACUAUGAUAUCUGCAGCCAAACAUUUCUCAUCAACUCACAAAGUCCGGUUGAUUUAGAGCAGAUUUUGUGAGUUUGACUGAACCUAUGUUGUGCGGAAUCUCCAAAAAUGUUGUCAAAUCUGUUUUGGAUUCUUCAAAAAUAUACUACUUCGGAGGAUCUGAUACUCACCAAUGACAUUUUGGAGAGUUAAAUUUGAGCCAGUGGCAGAACAAGGAUUUUCAUUGAGGGGGUUCAGAAAUAAAUAUACGAACUAGUCGAAAGAGAUUCUAACAUCUACUAUAUAUACAUAAAAUAUAUUUUUAACCAUAUAAAAAUAAUAUAAUUUCCAUCGAAGGGGGUUCAUCCAAUGCCUAACUACGUAUACAUAAGCAAAAACGUGCAGUUCACAAAGUUGUCAAACCUAUUUCUGAAUCCAUUGAUUUUAAAUUUUGAAUUCACCUAUAGUAUAUGGCUUUUAUACGUAUGUAUAGUAGUGUAUAGCCAAUAAAGAAUUGCAUGAAAUCCUUUGUAUUCCUUAGCACUAGGCAGUUUGCCAUGAAAAAACAAUGGAAACUUUUAUAAAGUACUGUAGUAUAUUUCUACAGUUUGUAGUUGUUAGAAAGGGUUAUAACACUUUCGGUCCCUUAGCUAUAUUCAGAAAUUCUAAUUUAGUCAUUAUGCAUAUGAUUACGCGC
rnacentral:lncRNA from 1 species